AUGGCUCAGGAUGAACGCUAGCUACAGGCUUAACACAUGCAAGUCGAGGGGCAGCAUUGGAGUAGCAAUACUCAGAUGGCGACCGGCGCACGGGUGAGUAACACGUAUCCAACCUGCCGCUUACUCGGGGAUAGCCUUUCGAAAGAAAGAUUAAUACCCGAUGGUAUAAAGAGUUCGCAUGUUCUCUUUAUUAAAGAAUUUCGGUAAGCGAUGGGGAUGCGUUCCAUUAGAUAGUUGGCGGGGUAACGGCCCACCAAGUCUACGAUGGAUAGGGGUUCUGAGAGGAAGGUCCCCCCACAUUGGAACUGAGACACGGUCCAAACUCCUACGGGAGGCAGCAGUGAGGAAUAUUGGUCAAUGGACGAGAGUCUGAACCAGCCAAGUAGCGUGAAGGAUGACUGCCCUAUGGGUUGUAAACUUCUUUUAUAAGGGAAUAAAGUGAGGGACGUGUCCCUUUUUGUAUGUACCUUAUGAAUAAGGAUCGGCUAACUCCGUGCCAGCAGCAGC
rnacentral:rRNA from 1 species